rnacentral:rRNA from 1 species
UACGGAGGGUGCAAGCGUUAUCCGGAUUCACUGGGUUUAAAGGGUGCGUAGGCGGACAGGUAAGUCAGUGGUGAAAUCUCUGGGCUUAACCCAGAAACUGCCGUUGAUACUAUUUGUCUUGAAUAUCCUGGAGGUAGGCGGAAUAUGUCAUGUAGCGGUGAAAUGCUUAGAUAUGACAUAGAACACCGAUAGCGAAGGCAGCUUACUACAGGAGGAUUGACGCUGAGGCACGAAAGCGUGGGGAGCAAACAGG